rnacentral:rRNA from 1 species
AUUGAACGCUGGCGGCAGGCUUAACACAUGCAAGUCGAGCGGGGACUUCGGUCCUAGCGGCGAACGGGUGAGGAAUGCUUGGGAAUCUGCCUUGUAGUGGGGGAUAACGUUUCGAAAGGAACGCCAAUACCGCAUACGUCCUACGGGAGAAAGGGGGGGAUCUUCGGACCUCUCGCUAUAAGAUGAGCCCAAGUCGGAUUAGCUAGUUGGCGGGGUAAAGGCUCACCAAGGCGACGAUCCGUAGCUGGUCUGAGAGGAUGAUCAGCCACACUGGAACUGAGGCACGGGCCAGACUCCUACGGGAGGCAGCAGUGGGGAAUAUUGGACAAUGGGCGAAAGCCUGAUCCAGCCAUGCCGUGUGUGUGAAGAAGGCCUUCGGGUUGUAAAGCACUUUAAGCGAGGAGGAAUGGCUCUGGGUUAAUACCCUUGAGCAGUGACGUUACUCGCAGAAUAAGCACCGGCUAACUCUGUGCCAGCCGCCGCAGUAA